UAGCUGCUUUUCCAGCUCGGCAAUCUUGGCCAUGGAUUCGUUCUCCGCGUCCCGAAGCCUUUCUGUCAGCUGUGGCACAGCACAUGGUGAGCUCCCACCCGCCGCUGGGCACUGGUACCGCCGGUGAGGGGGCGGCAGCAGGCAUGCCUGCCUGAAGGGCUGGGGGAGGCUUCCGGAUGUGCUGGCGGGUGGGCUGAGCCUGGCACUUGAACCCAAGUAGGUGAGGCACUGAGGGCACUAAAGUUCUCUCAGGAGGAGAAACCAGGGCACCACUGAGGAAGGAGGUGAGUGGAGAGGAGAUUGGGCUAGGAGGGGCCCCAGGCACCUAGUUCCGCCCAAGCCAGGAUGUGGGCUCUGAGCACAGGGAGAGGAGGGGCCUGCCUCCUGCAGAGGUCCCACAGCGCAGGAACCCAGCGAACGCUCACUGAGAAAGACACCCAAGAUGUGGAUUCAGGUCAAAGUCUGGAACCAGGCAGACAGCCACGGCCCACCCCCAGCCCACCCCCUGUUUGGGUUUGAGGCCCAGGGCCUGAUGCGAUUGUGAAGCCCUGGGGGCCUACGAUGUGCUGGGCCAAGUUCAGGAACACCUCCCACCUGGGCCACCUGCUCCUGCAGCUCCUCCAUGUGCUCCAGCACAGCAUUCUUGGUCUCCGUGUCCUCCAGCAGCGCACCCACAUCAAAAACAUUAUCCAAGUAUGCUUGGAUCUGUACCUGCAGCUUGUCACUCUCGGUGAGCCGAAGCCUCUGUCCCCCAGACAGAAGGAGCAGGGUGAGGCCCAGUGUGAGGGGUCUCUCAGAACCGCCCAUCACCGCUGGAGCCCAGGGGAAGGGGCUUGAGCCCCAGCCUGCUUUUUCUUUUUUAUUGAGAUAUAAUUCACAUACCAUAAAAU
rnacentral:lncRNA from 1 species